rnacentral:rRNA from 1 species
UAGGGAAAUCUUCCACAAAUGGACGAAAGUCUGAUGGAGCAAUGCCGCGUGAGUGAAGAAGGUUUUCGGAUCGUAAAACCUCUAGUUGUGAGGGAAGAACAAGUACGGGAGUAACUGUCCGUACCUUGACGGUACCUCAUUUAGAAAGCCACGGCUAACUACGUGCCAGCAGCCGCGGUAAAUACGUAGGUGGCAAGCGUUGUCCGGAAUUAUUGGGCGUAAAGCGCGCGCAGGCGGCCUUUAAGUCUGAUGUGAAAGCCCUACGGCUCAACCGUGGAAGGUCAUUGGAAACUGAAAGGCUUGAGUACAGAAGAGGAAAGCGGAAUUCCACGUGUAGCGGUGAAAUGCGUAGAGGAUGUGGAGGAACACCAGUGGCGAAGGCGGCUUUCUGGUCUGUAACUGACGCUGAGGCGCGAAAGCGUGGGGAGCAAACAGGAUUAGAUACCCUGGUAGUCCACGCCGUAAACGAUGAGUGCUAAGUGUUAGGGGGUUUCCGCCCCUUAGUGCUGGAGCAAACG